rnacentral:ncRNA from 1 species
UCAGUUUGAUUCUAGCUGAAAACUUAGCUAAAUUGAAUCAAUAUACAUGUAAGCUCAUACAACCCCGCAACUGUUUUACUCCUAAAAGGUACACAAAUUACAUCAAACUUUCUAUACGUAAUAGCGCCACAGUAAAUAACCCUAAUGAUCUGCAAAAGCAAGAAAUGGAUAUCAAUAAAGAGUUGGCAAAAUUCGUGCCAGCUGCCGCGGUUAGACGAUAAACUCAAGUUAAUUAAAACACGACUAAAAUAUGAUGAGUUAAAUAGUUUCCAAGGUCUAAUUUAUCAACUUUAGACUCAUAUUCAUCAAUCUUUACAAAAACAUAAUCUAAAACACGGAUUAGAUACCCGUCUAUUUAUGUAGUGAUUAAUAGUCGAAAAAUACGAACCACUGUUUAAAACUCAAAGAUUUUGGCGGUGUCUUAUCGAACCAGGGGAACCUGUCUCAUAACUCGAUAAUCCACGAAUACCUUACCCUUCCUAGACCAACCAGUUUGUGUACUGCCGUCGUAAGCAUACCUCUAAAAGAACUAGUCUGCAAUCAUGGCAAGCCCAAAUACGUCAGGUCAAAGUGCAGCUAAUGAAAGGGUGACGAUGGGUUACACCCCUAAUAAUGACACGGACUACACCCUAAACCGUGUAUAAAGGUGGACUUGGAUGUAAUUCUAAUCCUAAGCUAUAAUGAAAAUGAAUCUAAGACAUGCACACAUCGCCCGUCACUCUCUCCUAAAGGAGAGAUAAGUCGUAACAAAGUAGGUGUAACGGAAGUUGCACCUGU